rnacentral:hammerhead_ribozyme from 1 species
AUCCGGCUGACGAGUCCUAAAUAGGACGAAAAGCGCGUCCUGGAU